rnacentral:rRNA from 1 species
CCCUUAGAUGUUCUGGGCCGCACGCGCGCUACACUGACGAAUGCAACGAGCUUAUAACCUUGGCCGAAAGGUCUGGGUAAUCUCCAAAUUUCGUCGUGAUGGGGAUAGAUUAUUGCAAUUAUUAAUCUUCAACGAGGAAUGCCUAGUAAGCGCAAGUCAUCAGCUUGCGUUGAUUACGUCCCUGCCCUUUGUACACACCGCCCGUCGCUCCUACCGAUUGAAUGGUCCGGUGAAUAAUUCGGACUGCAGCAGUGCUUGGUCCUCCGGGCUUUGCAGCGGAAAGUUUAGUGAACCUUAUCACUUAGAGGAAGGAGAAGUCGUAACA